CUAACAACUCAAAACUCUGUUGUAUUCCAAACUCGGGAUACAACUAAAUACAUAAAAGUAGGUUUAUGGAAUCGUUUAUAACAAUGAAGUAACUGUGUUUUAGUCAAAGUCCGGAUACAACGGAAUACACAAAACUAGGUUAAUGGAAUCGUUCAUAACGACGCACUAAUUCUCUUGUAGUUCAAAGUCCGGAUACAACGAAAUACACAAAAUUAGGUUAAUGGAAUCGUUCAUAACGACGCACUAAUUCUCUUGUAGUUCAAAGUCCGGAUACAACGAAAUACACAAAAUUAGGUUUAUGGAAACCUUCAAACAAACCAAUAACUAUGUUGUAGUUCCAAAGUCCGGUUACAACGAAAUACAGGAAACUAGGUUUAUGGAAUCAAAUAUAAAUAAGCACUAACAGAGUUUUAGUUCCAAAGUCCGUAUACUACGAAAUACACAAAACUAGGUUUAUGGAAUCGUUCAUAACGACCCACUAACUCUCUUGUAGUUUAAGAUCCGGAUAUAUCGAAAUACACAAAACUAGGUUUUUGGAAUCGUUUAUAACAACCCAAUAACACUGUUGUAGUUCCAAAGUCCAUAUACAACGAAAUACACAAAACCAGGUUUAUGGAAAAUUUCAAACAACUCAAUAACUCUGUUGUAGUUCCAACGUCAGGAUACAUCGAAAUACAAGGAACUAGGUUUAUGGAAUUUUACAUAAAUAAGAACUAAUUGUGUUUCAC
rnacentral:lncRNA from 1 species